rnacentral:rRNA from 1 species
UACGAAGGGUGCAAGCGUUACUUGGAAUUACUGGGCGUAAAGCGUGCGUAGGUGGUGAGUUAAGUCUGUCGUGAAAGCCCCGGGCUCAACCUGGGAAUGGCGAUGGAUACUGGCUCGCUAGAGUGCGGUAGAGGAGAGUGGAAUUCCCGGUGUAGCAGUGAAAUGCGUAGAGAUCGGGAGGAACAUCAGUUGCGAAGGCGGCUCUCUGGACCAGCACUGACACUGAGGCACGAAAGCGUGGGGAGCAAACAGG